rnacentral:tRNA from 1 species
UGGCGUGUAGCUCAACUGGCAGAGCGCCCGGCUGUUACCCGGGUCGUUGCAGGUUCGACUCCUGCCACGUCAGCGA